UACGUAGGGUGCAAGCGUUAAUCGGAAUUACUGGGCGUAAAGCGUGCGCAGGCGGUUUUGUAAGUCUGUUGUGAAAUCCCCGGGCUCAACCUGGGAAUGGCAAUGGAGACUGCAAGGCUAGAGUUUGGCAGAGGGGGGUAGAAUUCCACGUGUAGGCAGUGAAAUGCGUAGAUAUGUGGAGGAACACCGAUGGCGAAGGCAGCCCCCUGGGUCAAAACUGACGCUCAUGCACGAAAGCGUGGGGAGCAAACAGG
rnacentral:rRNA from 1 species